UUUGACAUUCCUGUACACUCUGAAUUGAAGCCAGAAUCCCCAAAUUUUUCUCCUCUGUUUAAUAAGAUGUAAAAAAAAUCCCCAACCCAGCCAUGAAUGGAGCAAAUUCAGAGUUUGUUACACAAUAAUUUUUUUAGACUGUGAAGAAACAGCUAAUAUACUUUGGAACCCAAAGCAACACCAAGAGAAUGUACUGAAAAGUCCUUAAAUCAUUGUUGUAAAGCAUGGCAACACUGUAGUGGUGUUAGAAAAAGAAAGGGAAGGAAACAUGCAUAUGUUUUAAAGUUACUGAAACUUCAGCUGGAGAUCUCUGAAUGAACUUUUAGUUUAUAUGGACAAAGAUAGGCCCACAAGAGUUAGGAUUCACUGGGGAGAUGCUACCUGCUGGCUGCACAAAUGCCUUUAGCUCCAGUCUGCAACCAGCCGUUUGUGUUACUAGCAAAGACAACAAGGGAAGUUGUUAGAAAUCAUUAACAGUGUUGACUGAGUGUCUCCGAAAGAGCAUCUUGGACUUCCUGACGUGCAUGGUUCAUGUCCCAGCUUUGAUGUGGUAUUAAUAUAAGCGAGUAAGACCAAGAAAGUGCACGGGAAGGAAGAUAACCAGCCAUCAAACAGCCUUUCAGCAAACUCUGAAAAUUAAAGGAGAAACCAAGCAAGAAUGAGAGAUAUGGGAAGGAUUUCCUGGGGUCAGACUAGUUCAGCUCUGCAGACUUUCUCCUGUGGGAGUCUGUAGGACAGCCACUGUCAGGAAUGCUGGCUUCUUUGACAGCAGAUCUAUUUCAUGCCCAAAGGAAGUAUUUAAAGCUUUUAGCACCUGAGGAAUGUGAAUUGCUCCAAGCAACAGCUUAAGCCAUGUUCUGCAUUUGUCCAAUAACUUUACUGUUACAGAACCAACACCUAAAAUAGCCUCCUGUAAAAGCUGUUUGGGAAGAUCAAAGUUUCACAAAAACUGCACAAAAACUUUUCUCUUUAUAUUUCUUUUUAUUUUUAAUGUGAGAGGAGUGACUUGGAAUCUGUGCUUAGGAAAUCUGGCUUUUGGAGUCCCUGGCCUCCGCGGCACAAUGCAUGCAUACACUGCUCUGGGCUUUUCUUGGAGCAGAAACCGUGUUUGCAGAGUGGUUCCCUACCGCUUCCAGGAUAUACAGACUGCUGAGUCUCCAUCAUUCCACAGUGAGGACAGCAGAUCAGCAUGGGAGCAGCAGAAAGCCAAAGGGCAGAUUCCCAACUUUUCUCUGGGUAAGAAAGCAAAUCAAGCUUCAGUGGUAUCUGCUGAAAGCCUCACCUGUACAGCCAGACUGAGAUGUGGAGCUCUCCACUGACAGCCAUUGACCAGCCACUUCACAUGGCCACACUGCUCUUACCAACAUUACCAAGACAGCUGCAGCGUUUCAUGAGCCAACUACUGAAGAAUUCCCAGGAUGAAAGCACUCCAAACAGCACAGGGUUUUAUGACAUCCACUCCUGGCCUCUCCUGACAUCCAGUAUUGGCUACUCUUUCCUACUUAUCCUCAACUGCCGGUGUCUUAUUUGGAGCUAUUUCCAAUCAGCGUCUGUUGGACACAACACAACCCUCAAGUUAGUACCAGAACUAACCAGCUACUAGAAGGGAGAGGUGCUCACAGCUGCUUUGGGAUCUCCCACACCCAAACUGAGCCACAGAUCAAAUGUCUAGUUCUGUGGACUAAGCCCAUUCAUCUCAUUAUCAACCACAUGGAAAGGAUGAUGGUGGGGAUUGGCCCAUUUCCAGAAAGGAGGACUCCACACAUCCCAACCUAACAAGGCUUGGAUGCUCCUGUGUCCUGGAGCAGGAGGCCUGGUCCAGGAGAUAUGAGCACAAGCGUGCCUCAGCUCCCUGCCUGCAGUGCCUGUGUCCUUCAUCCCUGGUGUCUGAGCUGUCAAAUCCUUCCAUAUUCCUGCCCUAAUCCACCCUCAGCAGUGCUUUCUGCUCCUGCCAGAGGCAUCUGUGACCCUCAUCUCAGGAGUGCACCGUGGCAGAGCAUGAUGCACUCGCUUGGUCAGGUGGCUGUCCCACUCCCAUGGAUGCUGCAGGGACCCAGCAUGGGUGACCACAGCCCUGGGCUCCUCCACCAGCAUCCCUGCUGCAAUAAGGCAAUGUUCAUGGCCAGGGUUAGGUGUGAGCACUUUUAUUCAUGUACAAAUAGCCACAGCUGAAAGAGCAAAUGCUCAGGGAAGAGAAAGUGUCCUCUUGCUGCCAGAAAACCACAUCUGAGUUCAUUUACCACUGAAAUGCCACAAAUUAUCAUCUCUGCAGUCAUUAGGCAACAUUGCAGUCAGCAUAUCAGCUCAUUAAUGAUUAAAUAAUUCCAGUUGAGCCUGAGCCUAUCAAUGUGGUGUGUGCAACCGUGAAAGAGCAUAGGGCCACUGGAAUGAAAUCCUGCUGUCUUGUCCCACCAGCCUGGUGGGAAAGGUCAUGAGGACCCAGCUUGCUCACUUACAACAUUUGAGUUGAAAUGGUGGUGGCCCUGUGGAAGAAAUAUGCCUAUAUCCGUUAGCAGUGGGAUCCUUCCCAGCUCUUGGGAAGGCUGUCUCUUGUAAGAGGCAAGUCGUUAUACUGGAGAUGUCAUGGACAUGAGGAUAGUCUUGGUUCCUCCCUGUAAGCAUGGCCGCAGGGAUUGCGGACACCACGUAGGCGUUUUCCAGCACAAGGAAAUGCACAUGCAGGAGGCUGAGAGGAGAAACCAUACUGUUGGCAGUCACGCUGAAGCCACAGGUUGUGAAGAAACCACAUAACCAAAGGCUGGCCUUGAGAAAACAUCCAGAUCACCUCCCCCUGCAGCCAGAAGCCACCACUGACCUGCUCACAACAGACACUUUUUUCUGUGAGCUCGCACAGACCCAUGGGUUUCUUCUCCUUGGUAAACCUAUGAUGUCCCCAGCAGGGAAACCCUGCCACCCCAAACUGCUCCUGUGAGCUCAGCUCCCAGCUGAAAAGUAUCUGAAUAGUCCUAUGCCCUGGUCUUUCCUACACUUUGCCAAAACAUGACGGACCUGAGAGCAUACCAGGAAGGAUCUGCGGGUGCCAGUAUGAAGGUGGCAUUGUAUUGAGCAAAGUUUGUCCUUUUUGCCUGAUUCCCUUACUAUAAAUAAACCUAAGAGCUGAGGGAUAGCUUUGUCACUGUUCCCCCACUGUCUUCCUGUAGCUUUUUUAGACAAGACUUUGUGUCUCUUGAUCCCAGGGAGGAUAAUCACUUCCAUUGCUGUUGGCAAUGGGAAGAGCUGGCUGCCCUCAGUGCUCGGUAGCUUGAGGCUGAGUAUUCUCUCCAUUCCCUUGGAGAGAGCAAGAAUUAUUUACUGAGGGAAAGAUCCUCAUUACAGCUGGAACAUGUCCCAGGGACCAGUGACCUCGAGAAAAAGCAAAUCUAGUGAUGAAACCAAAAACAGAGGUGAAAAGGUCAGCCUGGUGAUGGGGUGCUUGCCCAAGCCAAGCCCCAUCACUAAUGGUUGAUAUGCUGCCAGGCUCAGGGACCGCUGGAGGAGCAGGAGCAGUGUGUGUGAUAUCGGGGCUUGUGCCCCAGCUCCAGCCCUGUGCUCUGCAAACAGGAAGCUGUCAAGCUGCUGCUGAAUAAGUCAUUUUGGGGAGUUUGUACCAAACUGGCUUUCAACUCCUGAAUGUGUAGGAAGGAAAAAGCUGUGAAUACGCCUUUGUGACCAAGUUUGGCACCAGCCGCACUCUGCAAGAGGGACAAGAAUGUGGCCAUUUAGAGGGGAGUCAGCUGCCCUUUAAGAAAUUAAAUGAUCCCUUCCCUUUCCUGCGAGGCUUUAUUGAGGGGUGAAUAGGAAUGAGACACUGAGCAGUUUCUUUCUCUUGCUGGCACAGAGGGCUGCGAUCCAAGUUGUGGAUGCUGGAGCACAAGGAGAGACCCCAUUCCAGGGAAGCUGCACAGCCCAGCAAUGAGCCCAUCUGGCUGAUCCCUCUCUGCAGGCUGACUGCUCCAGGAGGAAUCGGACUGAGGCCGUGAAGCUCCAGAUCUGGCCUUUCCCGGAGGACCAUGUGUGCCCUGCAGUGAUUUCGUUGGGACUCCCGCAAAACAUCUGUUCAUCUCCUUCACAGGGCUUGAAGGGGUUUUGGAAGCAAGCAGUUUGGAAUGUUUUGCCCUUUUCUGAAACAAUUCCCCACCCAGUGUUUGAGAAGUUUCUGUACAUUACAUUAAAAAUGGACUGUGUCCAAACGUUUGUGGGGUUGGUUUUUUUUUUUUUUUUUGAAAGGCUUAGAUAUUUUGUACAGAUCUUUCCUUUGUGGACAAGGAAAGAGGCUUUGUUGCAAUCUGGAAUGAAGACACGCUCUGUUUUAUGAAAUCCUCUGGGAGGCUGGCCUUCUGCUCUCUGUCUAGUUGAAGCUUUGGCUAUAUUCACUGGUGCGAUUGUCACAUCCAGUGAAAGAAGGAACAGGUCCCUGGGGCAGACAGACUUGCCCCAGCCAAGGCUCCAAGAGGACAGCUUGGUCACGUGUGUACCCAGAAGUUUUCCAAAGAGUGACUUAGGAGUUUUCUGAAUCACUGGCUUUGGGACCUCACAAGUCCUGAAGCAGUAGGAAGCUCCAGAUGAUUUCAGAUUGCUUCACGUGCCAGGAAAAAGGAAAAACAAGCAAGGCAGAUAUUCAUAGGUUGGCUAGUGCUAAACUGUAUUGCUCCACUGGGAUCAGUUGCUCCAAGUGUAGACUUCUUAAGAAAUACUUGUAAUAAAAUAGAUGCAGGGGUCUUGGGUGGGAGUCAAGAUUAAUAAUCGCUUUCUUCUCGGGUUUCAUUCCUUUCUCGUCUUCCCCCUGGCUUGGCAUAAACACAGUAUUGAUUAAGAACUUUGCUGGUGGUUUCAUCUUCCUACCAAUAGCUGCAGAAGGUCUGGAAAGAGAGACAGCGCCUCCAGUGCUUCCUCAUUGCAGUCAGCAGGAGCUUCUUUAGCUUCUGCACCAAAAAGUCUGCUGGAAAACGGGGAGUCUUUACAGCUCAGUGUGUUAUGACAGAUGUUUGUAGGCUCACUAUUGAUGGAGUUUAAUUACAAAUAACCUUUCUGUUCCUUUUUUCAUAGUGCCAGUGUUUCAGUGUACAGGAUGCAUCCAGCAUCCCAUUCUGGAUCCUUGGCAGAGGGAAGAGGCAGAGAAACUGGAGAGCCCAGUGAAGGGGCCACUGAGAUGGCUGAGGAGGAGAGGCUUUGCUCACCCUGGAGAAUGAGGUGGAAGGGAUUGAAACACAUUUUGCAUGGCCCAUGAGGGACAGAGAGAUCCUGCAAGGGCAGGAAGCCACCACAGUGACAGGGCAAUCCAACUGGACAUGAAGACAGGGCUCUUCUCUGUGACAGCAGCAUAGCCCUGGGGCACGACCCAGAGAGGUGGUGGGACCUCCAUGCUUGGAGGUCUUCAAAACUCAGCAGCAAGGCCAUACUCUAGACAUACCAGAGACACAUCUCAUAACACCUUUGGAAGCUGAUAACCACCUCCUCUUCCUUGUCUCCUGUUUCAACCUGAAAAAUCAGGAAUAGUACAGAAGGACCAAACUAGCAAAGCAGUGAUAAAUUGGGAAGAGGAGCCAGCUUUCCAGCUGUACUUUUUCCCAAUUUAGCAGGCAACAGUGGGAGACUGAUAAAGUUUAGACCAGAACCCAUGAAA